rnacentral:lncRNA from 1 species
GGAGGAGGACGACGUCCCUCCCGAAGAGAAGAGGCUGCGGCUCUUGCUGGAGGGGGGAAGCGCACAGCCCCAGGACUGCGAGGACGGGCAGGACGCGCCGCGGUCGGCCAGGAAGGAGACCGGCACCCAGACAGGUGGCGACGGCAGAGGAGCACAGUGGCUCACACCUGUAAUCCCAGCACUUUGGCAGGUCGAGGCUGGUGGAUCACCUAAGGUCAGGAGUUCGAGACCAGCCUGGCCAACAUGGCGGAACUGUCUCUACUGAAAAUACAGAAAUUAGCCAGGUGUGAUGGCACACACCUGUAAUCACAGCUGCUUGGGAGGCUGAGGCAGGAGAAUCAUUUGAACCUGGGAGACAGAGGUUGCAGUCAGCCGAGAUCGCACCAAUGCACUUCAGCCAGCCUGGGUGACAGAGUGAGACCCUGUUUCAAAAAUAAAUAAAUAAAUAAAAUAGAA